rnacentral:lncRNA from 1 species
UCCCGUUAAAAACGACCACAUUCUUUUCAGCAUAGAAAUUAAGAAGAGAAUUAUUAUGUUUUAAUUAAGUGUGGUCCACCAAAAUUAAAGAAUUAAUUAAGACUUCUUGAACCAAAAUCUUUAUCUUCUUCCAAUGCAUAUAUUCCAUUUUCUGACCGCCGGCGAUGCCGGGGACGGAGACGGAGACGCCGGCGACCAGAUUUUUCAGAAAAAUAAAUGCAUAGCCAGAAAGCCAAACCGGACACCCCUCUAAACUCAUAGCCAGAAGCCAAACCAGACACCCAUCUCAAACCAAACCAAGCCAGAAGCCAAACAAAGACGGAGACGGACGGAGUCGCCCCCUCGCCAAAUCAGAAGCCCUAGCCCUUUGUCUCCGCUGCCAGAAGCCAAAUCAGACACCCUCUGUCUCCGCCGCCAACCGGAGCCCUAGCCCCCAAAAUCGCGCGGUGAGGGAAAAGGGUUGUCGCCACCGCCAGAGGUUGCGGGGGACGUCGAACCCCAAAGAAUUGAGAGUCAGAGAUUGCACAGAGAAUGGGACCAAAGGGUUGCACUCACAGAGCUUUGGAUCGAAACUCACCUUCUUCUCCGGCAAUUUGGGUGUCGUCGCUACCGAUUUUGGGGUGCUGCCAACGAGUGCCGCUGCCCACAGCAGCGGAGGUUAGAAGAGAAAGUGGUGAGCGAGAAGACUAGAUAGAGAACUAAGAGAGAGAGAG